GCCGGGGUGGUGGAAUUGGUAGACACGCUAGCUUGAGGGGCUAGUGGCCGCAAGGCCGUGUGAGUUCAAGUCUCGUCCCCGGCA
rnacentral:tRNA from 1 species